rnacentral:misc_RNA from 1 species
ACGCUCUUCGAGCCCCCAUGCUCGGCGUUGGGGCACUAGGGAGCGCAGGCUCCCUAGGCCUCCAAGCAGAAGUGCGCGGUCCGGCUGCGGGCCCCGGGUACAGUAACUUCACCGUUGAGAUGCCCUGGGAGCAGCAGCUGGUCCAGCCGUAAAACCCCCGACAUAGGCCUCCCCCUACCGGGAGCCGCCACA